AUAGGGCAGUGGACUCUGCCUCACAACUCCAGGCCUUUUUGGGGUAGUUAGUCCAGACUAUCAAAUAGCCCUUAGAGUAUAGGUGUUGAGAAUGUUCCCCAGAAAUUUUCAGUCCUGUUGUUAAUUAGGUCAAACUCUUUUUCUUCAACUAAAGCAGCUGCCUUUUCCUUGUGGAUAUCCUGCAGGGUUUAAAUGUCCUGGUGAAGGAGGUGUUCACAGCAGCCCAGGUUUGAUAGGUAAUUUCCUUAGGCUCCUGUUUAAUCAUUAGAAGAUGAAUUUCCUUGGGGGAAAUCCCUCUGAAGGAGCCUCUGGCUCCCUCCCUGCAGAGACCAGCUUGCUGAGCUGUGCUGAUGUCAGCUGGUGUCACCUCACCUUGGUGGUGAGUCCUUUCACAAGUGACCUGGUCACACAUUGUGCCUUUUCCUUCACAGCCCACUGCCCCCAGCUGCCUCCAGCCCUGCUGGGGUCAGAAUUUGCAAGGAGCAAAAAGCCUUGCUCAGUUUAAUUGAAUUAUGAAGUAUUGUGAUAGGAUUUUCUAAGGAAUUACUUAUUUCUGAUUUGUUUGUGGGAUUUUUAAUAUUUUUAAAAGCCUCUUAUUUAGCAAACAGACUUUAGAGAAUUCAGACACUUUAUUUUUUUUUUGUCAUGCACUCCAGCACUUCUAGUUAAUGAUUCAGUUAAUGAAAGCAGAAGAAAACAAAUGUAAACCUGGUUAUUUUGGCUGCACUUUCCAAGCUAAGUGAAGUCAGUGCAAUAAUUCUAGGACUUUUAAACAAACACUCAACUUUUAAAAAAUCUUACUUAAAAUUUUACUGACCAGGUUUUCUAUGUUUGCCUUUUCCAUUUUUCUAAGAAUGCUGAAUGCCUGUAACCCCAGCUAAGUCAACUAAAUUGCUCAAGAUCUUUGAAAGUAAGGCCAUUGUUUAUGAGUAAUAUAUGUAUUUUUAAGAGUUAAAAGAUAAUAAUAUGACACAGCUUAGAGGUAAAAGUUUAGAGUUGCUUUUCAAACUUCAGUUUUUUGAGGAGGUUGUGAUGAUCACAAGCCCAAGCACCCGUGCAGGUGCUGAUAGGUCCAUGACAUAGCAGUGAGCUUCUCCAGAGGGAUGUGGUGUGGGAUGAGAGUGCCCCACAAGUGCCAGGCAUGCUUCCCUCCCCUGUCCCCAGGCUGCCAGCACUGUGUGCUGGUCACUCUCACUUUUGCCCUGAGGGGUUCUGGCCAUGCUGGCAUGGUCUGCUCACCUGCCUGGCCCACAUAAAGCAGCCCUUGCUGGCAGAACUAACAUGCAAGCACAAAUCUUGGUGUACAUCAGAUGGAUUUGCCUUCCUGCUCUUUCUUAAGGGCCAUGAGGUGAGGAAACCUGACAGCUCUGCAGAGCUGUGAUCUGACACUUUGUUAUCAUGUAGCACUUGGUCAUUUGCUUUUAGCACUUCCUCCCUUCCUGUGCUCUUUCCUGUCUUUUUUCUGCACCAAAGAAAUUGUGUCUGUGUAAAUACAGAAAUAGUGAUUUAUUCAAAGUCCUUUUAUAAUUAGAAUACUACAAUAUUUUUAAUGAAAUUUUAUUAUCUAAUGUGGGGGAAAAGGGUUUCUGUUAUGUCACAGCCAUGUUCCAGUGGCUGUCAACACAACAGCCUGUUUGCCCCCAAGGGGGAGUUCCUUGCUGUCCUGGGAAUGCCUGGUCAGUUGUAGGGUCAGGUGUUUGCCAGGCUUUUUAUGUGCACAUGGGCCUUUUGAUGAGACCCAAAAGCAGGUCCUUGAAACUAAACCUGAGAAGAUUGUCCUGAAGGGAUCUGUUUUCCUGCCCUGUGAUCAAGUAGUUUUCUAGAGUGUCCCUCUGCCCUCAGACUGGCUGGGUGCCUCAGGGGAGCAGUGAAAUCCCUUCCACACCCUGAGGAGCCCUGCCAGGACAGAGCAGCAGGCUGGCCAGUGCUCCUGGCUGUGCAGAGCUGCUCACUGACCCUGACUCUGAGGAGUGCUAGCUGAGAGGUGGAGCUUAGACUCUGCAACUGUUCUAACUGGGGCAGCAGGAGAAGCAGUCGUGCUUCUGACACAGCUGAAACAUGGUUAGCAGCUCCCCUGCCAUGAAGUGUGGAUGCUGUGCUCAGGUUCUCCUGGGAAGUGGUGGCCUGAGGUCUGACAGAGCAGGAGUUGUAGUUCUGGUUCAGUCCUGAUGGUCUUUGUUAACUGAACCCAGCUCCACUGUGUUGGGGACUGAUCUUCCAAGGGAUUUUACAGAAGCCCCAGAUAUAAAACCUGUGUCCACUGCCUUCUCACUUCUCCUGCAAAGCCAGCUGGGUGAUGCUGCCAGAAGAGAGCUCAGCUUGCCCCUAGUGCUUUGUGUGCUUGUUCCCCAAAGUGGUAACUGCAAGUCCAGCUUGCCCUCUCUCAUCCUAACCCCCAGACCUGCAUUUGUGUUCCAUUGCUCCCUCCUCUGAGAUCACAGGAGCUGUCUUGAGUGUGGGGUUAAAUCUCACAUGUUUCAUGUUUGUGCAAUAUGAACUGUCUCAUAUUUCUAUACUUAAAAUAUUUCCCUAAGCAUCAGUCCAUACAUUACAAAUGUAAAUAAAGCUGCAACAACAAAAU